rnacentral:rRNA from 1 species
AACGCGAAGAACCUUACCUGGGCUUGACAUCCUGUGAACAUCUAAGAGAUUAGGUUUCCGAGCAAUCGGACACAGAGACAGGUGCUGCAUGGCUGUCGUCAGCUCGUGCCGUGAGGUGUUGGGUUAAGUCCCGCAACGAGCGCAACCCUUGUCGUGUGUUGGUCCACAAGAUCUCUCACACGAGACCGCCGGUGACAAGCCGGAGGAAGGUGGGGAUGACGUCAAGUCAGCAUGGCCCUUACGUCCAGGGCUACACACGUGCUACAAUGCGCGCGACAGCGAGUCGCAAACCCGCGAGGGUAAGCUAAUCUCUUAAACGCGCGCUCAGUUCGGAUUGCAGUCUGCAACUCGGCUGCAUGAAGCUGGAAUCGCUAGUAAUGGCGUAUCAGAUCGACGCCGUGAAUACGUUCCCGGGCCUUGUACACACCGCGCAUA